CAAGUCGAGCGCGAAUGGGAGCAAUCCCUAGUAGAGCGGCGCACGGGCGCGUAACACGUGGGUAAUCUGCCUGGAAGCCCGGGACAACCUUUNGAAAGGAUGGCUAAUACCGGAUAAGCCUACGGGAUCCUCGGAUCCUGAAGGAAAAGGUGGCCUCUGUAUACAAGCUAUCACUUCCAGAUGAGCCCGCGGCCCAUCAGCUAGUUGGCGGGGUAAUGGCCCACCAAGGCAACGACGGGUAGCUGGUCUGAGAGGACGAUCAGCCACACUGGAACUGAGACACGGUCCAGACUCCUACGGGAGGCAGCAGUGGGGAAUUUUGCACAAUGGGCGAAAGCCUGAUGCAGCAGCGCCGCGUGUGUGAUGAAGGUCUUCGGAUUGUAAAGCACUUUCGACCGGGACGAAACACCCUUGGCUAACAUCCAAGGGCCUGACGGUACCGGGAGAAGAAGCACCGGCUAACUCUGUGCCAGCAGCCGCGGUAAUACAGAGGGUGCAAGCGUUGUUCGGAAUUAUUGGGCGUAAAGCGCGUGUAGGCGGCUUGGCAAGUCGGGUGUGAAAUCCCUCAGCUUAACUGAGGAAGUGCGCCCGAAACUGCCGAGCUUGAGUACCGGAGAGGGUGGCGGAAUUCCCCAAGUAGAGGUGAAAUUCGUAGAUAUGGGGAGGAACACCGGUGGCGAAGGCGGCCACCUGGACGGAUACUGACGCUGAGACGCGAAAGCGUGGGGAGCAAACAGGAUUAGAUACCCUGGUAGUCCACGCCGUAAACGAUGAGAACUAGGUGUCGUGGGUGUUGACCCCCGCGGUGCCGUAGCUAACGCAUUAAGUUCUCCGCCUGGGAA
rnacentral:rRNA from 1 species